rnacentral:tRNA from 1 species
GUGCUCGUAGCUCAGCUGGAUAGAGCGUCAGCCUCCGAAGUUGAAGGUCGCAGGUUCGAAUCCCGCCGGGCACGCCA